rnacentral:tRNA from 1 species
GGGGAGUUAGCUCAGCGGUAGAGCGCUUGCUUAGCAUGUAAGAGGCCAUGGGUUCAAAUCCCAUAUUCUCCA